GCACUGGUGGCUCAAUGGCAGACUUCCUGCUUGCCAAGCAGAGCACCUGGGUGCAAUUCCCAGCUGAUGCA
rnacentral:tRNA from 1 species